AUGAACGCUGGCGGCGUGCUUAACCCCUGCAAGUCGAACGGAAAGGCUCCUGCUUGCAGGGGUACUCGCGUGGCGAACGGGUGAGUAACACGUGGGUGAUCUGCCCUGCACUUCGGGAUAAGCCUGGGAAACUGGGUCUAAUACCGGAUAGGACCACAUUUUGGAUGGUGUGGUGGAAAGUUUUUCGGUGUGGGAUGAGCUCGCGGCCUAUCAGCUUGUUGGUGGGGUAAUGGCCUACCAAGGCGUCGACGGGUAGCCGGCCUGAGAGGGUGUACGGCCACAUUGGGACUGAGAUACGGCCCAGACUCCUACGGGAGGCAGCAGUGGGGAAUAUUGCACAAUGGGCGCAAGCCUGAUGCAGCGACGCCGCGUGGGGGAUGACGGCCUUCGGGUUGUAAACUCCUUUCGCUAGGGACGAAGCGUUUUUGUGACGGUACCUGGAGAAGAAGCACCGGCUAACUACGUG
rnacentral:rRNA from 1 species